AUUGAACGCUGGCGGCAGGCCUAACACAUGCAAGUCGAACGGUAGCACAGAGAGCUUGCUCUCGGGUGACGAGUGGCGGACGGGUGAGUAACGUCUGGGAAACUGCCCGAUGGAGGGGGAUAACUACUGGAAACGGUAGCUAAUACCGCAUAACGUCGCAAGACCAAAGUGGGGGACCUUCGGGCCUCACACCAUCGGAUGUGCCCAGCUGGGAUUAGCUAGUAGGUGGGGUAAUGGCUCACCUAGGCGACGAUCCCUAGCUGGUCUGAGAGGAUGACCAGCCACACUGGAACUGAGACACGGUCCAGACUCCUACGGGAGGCAGCAGUGGGGAAUAUUGAACAAUGGGCGCAAGCCGGAUGCAGCCAUGCCGCGGGUAUGAAGAAGGCCUUCGGGUUGUAAAGUACUUUCAGCGGGGAGGAAGGCGGUGAAGUUAAUAGCUUCACCGAUUGACGUUACCCGCAGAAGAAGCACCGGCUAACUCCGUGCCAGCCGCCGCGGUAA
rnacentral:rRNA from 1 species